rnacentral:rRNA from 1 species
CUACGGGUGGCUGCAGUGAGGAAUAUUGCACAAUGGAGGAAACUCUGAUGCAGCAACGCCGCGUGGAGGAUGACGCAUUUCGGUGUGUAAACUCCUUUUAUAUGUCAAGAAAAUGACGGUAGCAUAUGAAUAAGCACCGGCUAACUCCGUGCCAGCAGCCGCGGUAAUACGGAGGGUGCAAGCGUUACUCGGAAUCACUGGGCGUAAAGGACGCGUAGGCGGGUUGGAAAGUCAGGUGUGAAAUCCUACAGCUUAACUGUAGAACUGCACUUGAAACUUCUAAUCUAGAGUAUGGGAGGGGGAGAUGGAAUUAGUGGUGUAGGGGUAAAAUCCGUAGAUAUCACUAGGAAUACCUAAAGCGAAGGCGAUCUCCUGGAACAUUACUGACGCUAAGGCGUGAAAGCGUGGGGAGCAAAUAGGAUUAGAUACCCGCGUAGUC